AGUCACUGACAUUAGAUACCCGGGUAGUCCCAGCCCUAAACGAUGCGCGUUAGGUGUAUCGGUGACCACGAGUCACCGAGGUGCCGAAGGGAACCGUGAAACGUGCCGCCUGGGAAGUACGGUCGCAAGGCUGAAACUUAAAAGAAAUUGGCGGGGGAGCACCACAACGGGUGGAGCUUGCGGUUUAAUUGGAUUCAACGCCGGAAAUCUUACCGGGACCGACAGCAACAUGAAGGCCAGGCUGAAGACUUUGCCGGAUUAGCUG
rnacentral:rRNA from 1 species